rnacentral:rRNA from 1 species
AGAGUUUGAUCCUGGCUCAGGAUGAACGCUAGCUAUAGGCUUAACACAUGCAAGUCGAGGGGAAACGGCAUUAUGUGCUUGCACAUUCUGGACGUCGACCGGCGCACGGGUGAGUAUCGCGUAUCCAACCUUCCCUCCACUCGGGGAUACCCCGUUGAAAGACGGCCUAAUACCCGAUGUUGUCCACAUAUGGCAUCUGACGUGGACCAAAGAUUCAUCGGUGGAGGAUGGGGAUGCGUCUGAUUAGCUUGUUGGUGCGGGUAACGGCCCACCAAGGCGACGAUCAGUAGGGGUUCUGAGAGGAAGGUCCCCCACAUUGGAACUGAGACACGGUCCAAACUCCUACGGGAGGCAGCAGUGAGGAAUAUUGGUCAAUGGACGUAAGUCUGAACCAGCCAAGUAGCGUGCAGGAUUGACGGCCCUAUGGGUUGUAAACUGCUUUUGUUGGGGAGUAAAGUUGGGCACGCGUGCCUUUUUGCAUUUACCCUUCGAAUAAGGACCGGCUAAUUCCGUGCCAGCAGCCGCGGUAAUACGGAAGGUCCAGGCGUUAUCCGGAUUUAUUGGGUUUAAAGGGAGUGUAGGCGGUCUGUUAAGCGUGUUGUGAAAUUUAGGUGCUCAACAUCUACCUUGCAGCGCGAACUGGCGGACUUGAGUGCACGCAACGUAUGCGGAAUUCAUGGUGUAGCGGUGAAAUGCUUAGAUAUCAUGACGAACUCCGAUUGCGAAGGCAGCGUACGGGAGUGUUACUGACGCUUAAGCUCGAAGGUGCGGGUAUCGAACAGGAUUAGAUACCCUGGUAGUCCGCACGGUAAACGAUGGAUGCCCGCUGUUAGCGCCUGGCGUUAGCGGCUAAGCGAAAGCAUUAAGCAUCCCACCUGGGGAGUACGCCGGCAACGGUGAAACUCAAAGGAAUUGACGGGGGCCCGCACAAGCGGAGGAACAUGUGGUUUAAUUCGAUGAUACGCGAGGAACCUUACCCGGGCUUGAAUUGCAGACGUAGGAUACAGAGAUGUUGACUCCCUUCGGGGCGUCUGUGAAGGUGCUGCAUGGUUGUCGUCAGCUCGUGCCGUGAGGUGUCGGCUUAAGUGCCAUAACGAGCGCAACCCUUAUCUUUAGUUACUAACAGGUCAUGCUGAGGACUCUAGAGAGACUGCCGUCGUAAGAUGUGAGGAAGGUGGGGAUGACGUCAAAUCAGCACGGCCCUUACGUCCGGGGCUACACA